CCCCUGGUGGCCCAGAUGGUAAAGCGUCUGCCUGCAAUGCGGAAGACCCAGGUUAGAUGCCUGGGCUGGGAA
rnacentral:tRNA from 1 species